rnacentral:rRNA from 1 species
UACGUAGGCAGCGAGCGUUGUUCGGAAUUACUGGGCGUAAAGAGUGUGUAGGCGGUGCUCUAAGUCCGGUGUGAAAUCUCCCGGCUUAACUGGGAGGGUGCGCCGGAAACUGGAGUGCUCGAGCGUGGGAGAGGAAAGCGGAAUUCCUGGUGUAGCGGUGAAAUGCGUAGAUAUCAGGAGGAACACCUGCGGUGUAGACGGCUUUCUGGACCAUUGCUGACGCUGAGGCACGAAAGCGUGGGUAGCAAACAGG